rnacentral:rRNA from 1 species
UUGAACGCUGGCGGCAGGCCUAACACAUGCAAGUCGAACGGUAACAGGAAGAAGCUUGCUUCUUUGCUGACGAGUGGCGGACGGGUGAGUAAUGUCUGGGAAACUGCCUGAUGGAGGGGGAUAACUACUGGAAACGGUAGCUAAUACCGCAUAACGUCGCAAGACCAAAGAGGGGGACCUUCGGGCCUCUUGCCAUCGGAUGUGCCCAGAUGGGAUUAGCUAGUAGGUGGGGUAACGGCUCACCUAGGCGACGAUCCCUAGCUGGUCUGAGAGGAUGACCAGCCACACUGGAACUGAGACACGGUCCAGACUCCUACGGGAGGCAGCAGUGGGGAAUAUUGCACAAUGGGCGCAAGCCUGAUGCAGCCAUGCCGCGUGUAUGAAGAAGGCCUUCGGGUUGUAAAGUACUUUCAGCGGGGAGGAAGGGAGUAAAGUUAAUACCUUUGCUCAUUGACGUUACCCGCAGAAGAAGCACCGGCUAACUCCGUGCCAGCAGCCGCGGUAAUACGGAGGGUGCAAGCGUUAAUCGGAAUUACUGGGCGUAAAGCGCACGCAGGCGGUUUGUUAAGUCAGAUGUGAAAUCCCCGGGCUCAACCUGGGAACUGCAUCUGAUACUGGCAAGCUUGAGUCUCGUAGAGGGGGGUAGAAUUCCAGGUGUAGCGGUGAAAUGCGUAGAGAUCUGGAGGAAUACCGGUGGCGAAGGCGGCCCCCUGGACGAAGACUGACGCUCAGGUGCGAAAGCGUGGGGAGCAAACAGGAUUAGAUACCCUGGUAGUCCACGCCGUAAACGAUGUCGACUUGGAGGUUGUGCCCUUGAGGCGUGGCUUCCGGAGCUAACGCGUUAAGUCGACCGCCUGGGGAGUACGGCCGCAAGGUUAAAACUCAAAUGAAUUGACGGGGGCCCGCACAAGCGGUGGAGCAUGUGGUUUAAUUCGAUGCAACGCGAAGAACCUUACCUGGUUUUGACAUCCACGGAAGUUUUCAGAGAUGAGAAUGUGCCUUCGGGAACCGUGAGACAGGUGCUGCAUGGCUGUCGUCAGCUCGUGUUGUGAAAUGUUGGGUUAAGUCCCGCAACGAGCGCAACCCUUAUCCUUUGUUGCCAGCGGUCCGGCCGGGAACUCAAAGGAGACUGCCAGUGAUAAACUGGAGGAAGGUGAGGAUGACGUCAAGUCAUCAUGGCCCUUACGACCAGGGCUACACACGUGCUACAAUGGCGCAUACAAAGAGAAGCGACCUCGCGAGAGCAAGCGGACCUCAUAAAGUGCGUCGUAGUCCGGAUUGGAGUCUGCAACUCGACUCCAUGAAGUCGGAAUCGCUAGUAAUCGUGGAUCAGAAUGCCACGGUGAAUACGUUCCCGGGCCUUGUACACACCGCCCGUCACACCAUGGGAGUGGGUUGCAAAAGAAGUAGGUAGCUUAACCUUCGGGAGGGCGCUUACCACUUUGUGAUUCAUGACUGGGGUG